GACGAACGCUGGCGGCGUGCCUAAUACAUGCAAGUCGAACGCAGUGGGGACGGGUGAGUAACACGUGGGUAACCUCCCAUCAGAGGGGAUAACACUUGGAAACAGGUGCUAAACCGAUACUGAUGGAUGGACCCGCAGUGCAUUAGCUAGUUGGUGAGGUAACGGCUCACCAGGGCCACGAUGCCUAGCCGGCCUGAGAGGGUGAUCGGCCACACGGGGACUGAGACACGGCCCAGACUCCUACGGGAGGCAGCAGUGGGGAAUAUUCGGCAAUGGGCGAAAGUCUGAGCGAGCAACGCCGCGUGUGUGAAGAAGGUAUUCGGGUCGUAAAACUCUGUUAUUAGGGAAGCGGUAUCUAAAGAAAAAGCCACGGCUAACUCCGUGCCAGCAGCCGCGGUAAUUC
rnacentral:rRNA from 1 species